GUGAGUAACACGUGGGCAAUCUGCCCUGCACUCUGGGACAAGCCCUGGAAACGGGGUCUAAUACCGGAUACGACUACCGACCGCAUGGUCUGGUGGUGGAAAGCUCCGGCGGUGCAGGAUGAGCCCGCGGCCUAUCAGCUUGUUGGUGGGGUGAUGGCCUACCAAGGCGACGACGGGUAGCCGGCCUGAGAGGGCGACCGGCCACACUGGGACUGAGACACGGCCCAGACUCCUACGGGAGGCAGCAGUGGGGAAUAUUGCACAAUGGGCGAAAGCCUGAUGCAGCGACGCCGCGUGAGGGAUGACGGCCUUCGGGUUGUAAACCUCUUUCAGCAGGGAAGAAGCGAGAGUGACGGUACCUGCAGAAGAAGCGCCGGCUAACUACGUGCCAGCAGCCGCGGUAAUACGUAGGGCGCAAGCGUUGUCCGGAAUUAUUGGGCGUAAAGAGCUCGUAGGCGGCUUGUCGCGUCGGAUGUGAAAGCCCGGGGCUUAACCCCGGGUCUGCAUUCGAUACGGGCAGGCUAGAGUUCGGUAGGGGAGAUCGGAAUUCCUGGUGUAGCGGUGAAAUGCGCAGAUAUCAGGAGGAACACCGGUGGCGAAGGCGGAUCUCUGGGCCGAUACUGACGCUGAGGAGCGAAAGCGUGGGGAGCGAACAGGAUUAGAUACCCUGGUAGUCCACGCCGUAAACGUUGGGAACUAGGUGUGGGCGACAUUCCACGUCGUCCGUGCCGCAGCUAACGCA
rnacentral:rRNA from 1 species